rnacentral:rRNA from 1 species
UACGAAGGGUGCAAACGUUGCUCGGAAUUAUUGGGCGUAAAGCGCACGUAGGCGGCUUUGCAAGUCCGAUGUGAAAGCCCACGGCUUAACCGUGGAAGUGCAUCGGAAACUGCAGAGCUUGAGUACUAAAGAGGAUCGCGGAAUUCCCGGUGUAGAGGUGAAAUUCGUAGAUAUCGGGAGGAACACCAGUGGCGAAGGCGGCGAUCUGGGUAGAUACUGACGCUGAGGUGCGAAAGCGUGGGGAGCAAACAGG